rnacentral:misc_RNA from 1 species
GGAAAAUUUUCCGUGCGGUGUAUCAAAUUCGUCCGACAAGGCACCCUGACCAAGUGCGGAGAAAUUUUCUGUUUCUGACUACCAGACUCAAUGGAACGCGCGUGAUUCAACGCCACCUACUCACCUCACUGCUCCGUAUAUAAAACACGUGUCCCUCCCUCUUCCAAUGGAACAGAGCACCGGCUUCCAACUCUGCACGAUCUUUAGCCCAAGAAAUCAUCCAUACUAAGACAAAUCCCUCACGAAAACUACAAAUCAUAGCUUCGAGCACAAUCACUCUCACUAAUUCUGCUCAAAGGAUUGACCAGGUUUAUUUUGAUUUGUUGUUGUGGUGGGGGAGGUUCUGUAGGUUUUAUACUCGCCCAUGUAUGCCUGUGGUUCUAAAUUGAAAGUUUGUGUCCACUGGAACUCAAUUAAGGGAUAAACAUGAGUGGUGUACACAAGAAUACUAGCAUCUGUGAUGAUGAGAGUGCUCACUAUAGAUCAUUUGCAAGGCAAGGACCAAAUGGGAAUUCUGAUUUUCUUGAUCACGAAAUUGCUCAGCUCACAAAACUAAGAUCAGCACCCAAUGAAUUUUUAAGUAAGAAUGUACCUGGCAAGUUCAGGCUACCAGUCUCAACUGUGAAAAUGUUGGUUGGUCGAGAGUGUAAUUAUUCUGGGAGGGGAAGAUUCUCAACUGCAGAUGGUUGUCAUGUUUUAAGCCAAUAUUUGCCUGUCAAUGGUCCUUGUAGGGUGGACCGGAUGAAAAGCCGUGCUUAUGUUUCUCAGUUUUCUGAUGAUGGUACUCUUUUCAUUGCAGGAUUUCAGGGAAGCCACAUUAGGAUAUAUAAUGUGGAUAAGGACUGGAAAGUUCAGAAAGACAUUUUAGCCAAAAGUUUGAGAUGGACAAUUACUGAUACUUGUCUUUCACCGGAUCAGCGCCAUCUUGUAAGUCUGUGGUAAUUGUUGGACAAAGAGGCAUGUUAGAUAUACGAUCAAGAUGGGAAAUCAGAAUCAUUACCUGAUGCAUUAAUGCAGGUUCUUUGAUUUUAAUCAAGAGCUGCUUUUUAUUUGGUGGACCACUUCUGUUACAACUUAGAACUUCUUAGCAAAUUAAAUAUCAGUCAGAAAUUUCUUCAGUAUCUAUCUGUUUGUUUCCUGGUUCAUUGUGUUGUAAUUUUUCAUUUUUAGGAAAUGCUCAUGUUAUUGGAUCAUCUUUUUACCCAAUUAUUUGUUCAUUGACCUUUUCUUGCACUGUACAUGCAUGUGUAGUUGUGUACACAUCUGUGCCUGCAUGCAUUUGCACAUUUUGUUACUUGCAUGCCCAUUUACAUGCAUGUGCACAUGACUAGUGCUUUAGACAAUUAUUUAUUUGUUGCCUCCCUUUCCACCUCCUUAUUGUGGUGUUUUGCAUGUAUGUUGGGGGUAGGGAGAGGGGGAAGGCUAGGGUGCUCUUUUGUAAUAGUGUUUUCUUCUUUGCUUGAAAAGCCUGGAAGAAGGGAUCUAUUGGCCACAUUGGCAGAUGCAGUAGCAAAAAUGAGGGGUUAAUUUACCUCUCUUUCUUGUUAAAUUACUCUUAUGUAUAUAUGUACUCAUCUACAUUGACUCCUCAUAAAUUUAAUUGUUAAAUCCUCUUUUUUAAUAACAAAUGUAUUUCUACAAAUGGGAGUCAAUUGACACUCUUUUUAUUAAAAAAGAAAAGAGGGUGUUUAGCUUGGCUACUUACUUUUAACUUUUUG